GUUGUAUGGUUAAGUGACUAAGCGUACACGGUGGAUGCCUUGGCAGUCAGAGGCGAUGAAGGACGUAGUAACUUGCGAUAAGCGUAGAUGAGGCAGUAACAGCCACUUGAGUCUACGAUUUCCGAAUGGGAACCACUGGCAUAAGCCAGUAUCAUUGAGUGAAUACAUAGCUCAAUGAAGCGAACCGGGAGAACUGAAACAUCUAAGUACCCCGAGGAAAAGAAAUCAACCGAGAUUCCGAAAGUAGCGGCGAGCGAAAUUGGAUUAGCCCUUAAGCUUUACAUGUGUUAGACGAACGGUCUGGAAAGUCCGACGAUACAGGGUGAUAGUCCCGUAGUUGACGAUG
rnacentral:rRNA from 1 species